rnacentral:rRNA from 1 species
GCUUGGAAGCAGCCAUUCAUUUAAAGAGUGCGUAACAGCUCACUAGUCGAGGAGUCGGGCGUGGAUAAUAAUCGGGUAUCAAGUUGUCUACCGAAGCAGUGGGAUCAUUGAUAUGAUCGGUAGGGGAGCAUUCCAGUCGGCGUCGAAGGCGUACCGUGAGGUAUUCUGGAGCGUCUGGAAAAGCAAAUGUAGGUAUAAGUAACGAUAAAGGGGGCGGGAAACCCCCUCGCCGAAAGACUAAGGUUUCCUGAUCAACGCUAAUCGGAUCAGGGUCAGUCGGGUCCUAAGGCUCAGCCGAACGGCGAUGCCGAUGGCAGAAACGGUUAAUAUUCCGUUACUACCUUCAGGAGUGACGUGGAGACGCAGUAGUGACAGUGCCGCCAUCUGACGGAAUAGAUGGUUGAAGGGUGUAGGAGUCGAUCAUGGCAGGCAAAUCCACCAUGAGAUCCGAACCUGAUAGUAUGCCGCGUCCUUCGGGACAAGGCAAUAGUGCGCGUAAGCAUGCUGCCGAGAAAAUCCGCUAAACUUAAUCCUGCAGGUACCCGUACCGCAAACGGACACACGUAGUCGGGAUGAAUAUUCUAAGGCGCUUGAGUGAUUCACGGUUAAGGAACUAGGCAAACUGACCCUGUAACUUCGGGAUAAAGGGUCCCUACCCUUUUAUGGGAGGGCGCAGAGAAUCGGUCCAGGCAACUGUUUAACAAAAACACAGGGCUGUGCCAAGUCGAAAGACGCUGUAUACAGCCUGACACCUGCCCGGUGCUGGAAGGUUAAGAGGAGAUGUCAUCGCAAGAGAAGCAUUGAAUUGAAGCCCCAGUAAACGGCGGCCGUAACUAUAACGGUCCUAAGGUAGCGAAAUUCCUUGUCGGGUAAGUUCCGACCUGCACGAAUGGUGUAAUGAUCUGGACGCUGUCUCAACCGUGAGCUCAGUGAAAUUGUAGUAUCGGUGAAGAUGCCGAUUACCCGCGAUGGGACGAAAAGACCCCGUGAACCUUUACUAUAGCUUAUCAUUGAAUCUGGGCACGUGAUGUGUAGGAUAGGUCGGAGGCUUUGAAGCAGGUACGCCAGUAUUUGUGGAGCCGCUGUUGAAAUACGACCCUUUAUUUGUUUGGAUUCUAACCCGUGGAACGGGGACAUUGAUUGGUGGGUAGUUUGACUGGGGUGGUCGCCUCCAAAAGCGUAACGGAGGCUUCUAAAGGUGCCCUCCGGCCGAUUGGUAACCGGCCUUAGAGUGUAAUGGCAUAAGGGCGCUUGACUGGGAGACUGACAAGUCGAUCAGGUAGGAAACUAGAGCAUAGUGAUCCGGUGUUUCCGUAUGGAAGGGACAUCGCUCAAAGGAUAAAAGGUACUCCGGGGAUAACAGGCUGAUC